rnacentral:rRNA from 1 species
ACCCGCACAAGCAGCGGAGCGGUGUGGUUUAAUUCGUUGCUACACGAAGAACCUUACCUGGGUUUAACAUAUAGGUUGUAGGGAACUGAAAAGGACCGACCUUCGGGGAGCCUAUACAGGUGUUGCAUGGCUGUCGUCAGCUCGUGUCGUGAGAUGUUCGGUUAAGUCCGCUAACGAGCGCAACCCUCGUCGUAUGUUAUAUGUGUCAUACGAGACUGCCGGUAAAAGCCGGAGGAAGGUGAGGAUGAUGUCAAGUCAGCAUGACCUUUAUAUCCAGGGCUACACACACGCUACAAUGGUCUGUACAAUGGGUAGCCAAGCCGCGAGGCGGAGCCAAUCCUGAAAGCAGGCCUCAGUUCAGAUUGCAGUCUGCAACUCGACUGCAUGAAGCCGGAGUUGCUAGUAACCGCAGGUCAGCAAUACUGCGGUGAAUACGUUCCCGGGUCUU